CAGUAAGCACUCUGUGUUUAAUCAGGACUCAGGUCAGUGAACAGCAAAUGAACACAGGCUAUUGUCCUCCAGUGGCUACACCGAGUAAGAUGGGCUUUCAUUUGUAUUUUUGAGCCCGUAACUUCCAGUUCUUAUGUUUCCCUCCAGUUCUUUUGGGCUAUGGUAUAUCAAAUUGUGGGGCUACCCUGAAGCCUGCUGUGAAUCCAUGGGACUCUGUCCCUGCAGGAAGGCAAAACAAACAGAUUUUAUCUCCUUUGAGACAAAAGGUGUUACGUUUAUGCAAACUCUUAUUCAGUAUCAAAGUACCACGUGGCAUAUGUUAAAAAGGCUUCUGGAACAAAAGAAACACGUUGUACACUGCAGGUAUUGUCACAUCCAUUUGUUGGCCUCUCUCAUGAAAAUGUCUGUUAUCAGAGCACAGUGAGUAAUGUAGAAGUAUAUCCUUGGCUGCGGUAAUUUCUCUGUUCCAGGUUCUUUUGGGGGAAAGAAAUAGAACUCUGAGGUUACUUGUCUUAAAAUACUACUUUCUAAUCUGUCUGCAGAACGACAAGCAGUCAAAGCAGAGUGAAUGUUUACACUUUGCUGACUCUAUGUAAGUAGGUGUAUAUAUCUCUAAAAGCAUGUUCUUGUACAUAAAGCACUGGCAGACCCCCUGUUGCUUUGUCUGUCCUAUUUGCAAACAAUCUGGCUCUAAUGCCGUUAUCCAAACCAGUCCUGAUACCACAAGUAGCCACGAGCUCUUAAUCCUCACCCUAUUUCUUCUCCUCUUAUGCAAAAUUGCCAACACAUCCCUUCUGAAGACUUGAUGUGUUAUACAGCAGGUUUGCAGCAGAAGUAAUUAGAGGUGUACAUAGAAAAGGUGUAUGUACACCUCCAGAGGUAUAAAGACUGCACAGGUUGUCAUUUGAAAUACACCUACUGACUUUUACAGACCAAAACCUGCACUGCUUUAGGUGUAAGAAAAACCAAAAGUAUUAAUGAACAUUAAACAUUUAUAUUCCUCCAGAAAAGGUAGCAAAUAGGAAGCACCCAAUGUGAGCACCAGCUACAUAAACCAGGCAUAUCUGUAGAGCACUCCCCACAUGUAGCUGUGAAUUAAGCUGUUUCAGCCAGAAAUAAGAAAAAAACUGGAGGACUUGUAUAAACUGGGAC
rnacentral:lncRNA from 1 species